rnacentral:rRNA from 1 species
UACGUAGGGUGCAAGCGUUGUCCGGAAUUACUGGGCGUAAAGCGCACGUAGGCGGCUUCUUAAGUCGGUGGUGAAAUCCUGGAGCUCAACUCCAGAACUGCCUUCGAUACUGGGAAGCUCGAGUCCGGGAGAGGUGAGUGGAACUGCGAGUGUAGAGGUGAAAUUCGUAGAUAUUCGCAAGAACACCAGUGGCGAAGGCGGCUCACUGGCCCGGUACUGACGCUGAGGUGGCGAAAGCGUGGGGAGCAAACAGG